rnacentral:lncRNA from 1 species
AGUGUGAAACAUUCAGAGGAGACUCUUUAGUUCUUUGGAAGAAGGCAGGGGAAAAAGAAAAUAUCCUUCAAAAAUGGCAAUGGUAUCUGAAUUCCUUAAGCAGGCCUGGUUUAUUGACAAUGAAGAGCAAGAAUACAUUAAAACUGUGAAAGGAUCCAAAGGUGGUCCUGGGUCAGCAGUGAGCCCCUAUCCUACCUUCAAUCCAUCCUCAGAUGUUGAAGCCUUGCAUAAAGCGAUAACAGUGAAAGGUGUGGAUGAAGCAACCAUCAUUGAAAUUCUAACUAAGAGAACCAAUGCACAGCGUCAGCAGAUCAAGGCAGCAUAUCUCCAGGAGAAAGGAAAGCCCCUGGAUGAAGCUCUGAAGAAAGCCCUCACAGGUCACCUUGAGGAAGUUGCUUUGGCUUUGCUGAAAACUCCAGCUCAGUUUGAUGCUGACGAACUCCGUGCUGCCAUGAAGGGCCUUGGAACUGAUGAAGACACUCUGAAUGAAAUUUUGGCAUCAAGAACUAACAGAGAAAUCAGAGAAAUUAACAGAGUGUAUAAAGAAGAACUGAAGAGAGAUCUGGCUAAAGACAUUACCUCAGACACAUCUGGAGAUUAUCAGAAGGCUUUGCUUUCUCUUGCUAAGGGUGACCGAUCUGAGGACCUUGCUAUAAAUGAUGACUUGGCUGAUACAGAUGCAAGGGCUUUAUAUGAAGCAGGAGAACGAAGAAAAGGGACAGAUUUGAAUGUGUUCAUUACCAUUCUUACUACCAGAAGCUAUCCUCAUCUUCGCAGAGUGUUUCAGAAGUAUUCCAAGUACAGCAAGCAUGACAUGAACAAAGUUCUGGACCUGGAGUUGAAAGGUGACAUCGAGAAUUGCCUUACAGUUGUUGUGAAGUGUGCUACAAGCAAACCAAUGUUCUUUGCUGAGAAGCUUCAUCAGGCCAUGAAGGGUAUUGGAACUCGUCAUAAGACACUGAUCAGGAUUAUGGUUUCCCGUUCUGAAAUUGACAUGAAUGACAUCAAAGCAUGCUAUCAGAAGUUGUAUGGUAUCUCCCUCUGCCAAGCCAUCCUGGAUGAAACCAAGGGAGAUUAUGAAAAAAUUCUGGUUGCUCUAUGUGGAGGAGACUAAACGUUCCUUUGAUGAUCUCAAGCUUUUUGAUCAGCAGUCUUUUUAAUCAUAUCUUUUCAUUCCGUAUCAUAGACUUAAAUAAGAAAAUUUCUUCAGCAGGAUUAUAGUCUAGCUAACUCCUUUCUGAAAAAUAUAGCCUAUAAAUCAUUUUUUGUAUUACAACUUUAUAUAAUAGAGAUAAGUUUUUUAAAAAAUAUAUUUACCCCAAACUAUAGAACCCCAUGAAGAGGUUGUUCUAGUAACAUUGUCUGAGGAAUAUGUUUAUGUCACAGAAAAUAAAAUGAUUUUACAGGCCAAUUGCUGUGUGAUUGGUUCUUCUAUUCGGAUUUCCCUUUGUGUGUAAUGCAGUUGUUUAAUUUGAUAUCAAGGAACAGGAGCCUGAAUUCUAUAUUAUAAUCAUCUAAUGGAAUAAUUUUACAUAUUAAAUAAAACAUUCACAGAAUUAGAAAAUGAAAUUUUUACAUUUUAGUGCCUGGGUACAGAUCAUUGCGAGAGUAUCCCUGUAUAAUAACAGAUCUAUUGCAUCAGCAUUGUAAUAAUUGGAUAUUCUGUUGUAUUCCAUAAACCUGUGUAAAGAUUAAAUGACAACAGCAGUAAAAGUUGCUCACUUUUAAAAAAA